rnacentral:lncRNA from 1 species
GUCGCCUUCACAUCAUUUGCUGGGUAGUCAGAACAGGAGACACAGAACACAGAUCUGGUUACUCAGAGGCACUUUCUCCAGGGCAGUCCUCUGAGUAGCUGCAGAAGCAUCUGACCGCCACUGGCUGACAUUACAGCUGACCCAUUUUAGACCCUUUCUCACAGGAAGAGGAAGGAAAGAGCAGAAAAAAGAAAACAACGGAGCCACGGGGCUGCACCUCUGGGGUCACUGUCACUGCUUUACCUGCCAUUUCCGUGGAAAGGACAGGCAGGCGAGCCAGCGCGCAGAGCGUUCCCGCCUCCACGUCUGAGCGGAUCCAGGAGCAGCAACAAUGAUGAGGUCGGAUGCUCCCGCGAUGCCCUGGUCACCGCCCUCCUUUCCGAGGGCCUUUGUGAAGUGCGGGCCUCGACCCGGAGGAAGCCUCCUCCCAGGGCUCCGGCCGCACCUGCGGGCUCCGCGGGGACGACCCCGUUACCCACACACAACCCCUCCACGGUCCUUUGAUUCCUCGUUAGAUGUUUCUGUUUGGAGACAUUUCUGUAACAAGUAACGCCAUUUAAGAAGGGAUUCACUUGUUUACUAAAACAGCAAACUAGCUUUUUUAAGAGAAGUAACCUGCCUGGGCCUCCCAAGCGACCCUGGCUCCUUAAUCAGGGCAAAGUCCUAAAGGCUCUCUGAUGACACUGAGGCCUCCUCCCCAGCCCGCGCCUCCCUCUGGACGACGAGCAAAGCCCCUUGCAGGCGGGGACCACUGAGGGUCAGUUAACUCCAGGAUGUACUUAUUUAUUCCAACACGCACACCAGUAUAGACUCAUCCAUAUAGCUCGUAUGUGAAUAUUAUCAUAUUCAUAUAUUAUUUUUAUAUAGUAUUAUAUUAAAGGUACAUAACGCUUUUUUAAUUUUAUUUUUAUCAUUCUCUACCCUUUGUCAGCUGCUGAGAUGCACUGGUACAGGCCGUUAUUGUCAUAGUCUUUGCCAUUUACCAUAAAUCCUUUCACCACUCCUCC